CAUAAAUGGUUGAAGACAACUUAUUGGCCUUCAUGAGACUCAGAUAAAUGGUGAGUAUCUAUUUCAUAAAUUGCCUAAAAGUUAUAUUUGUUUUUAUUUGUGGUUUUUGUUUGUGUAUUUUGUCUGGUUGCAGAGAGGAUCACACCUGUAGUCAACAAACAAAGGUUUAAGAACUACUGACUUUUCAGUCAGAAAUGAUCACACCGCCUGGUUGAAGUACCAGUCUCCAUAUGCAAGUCAACAAAGCAGAGAGGAAACACCCGAUUGACAACAUGUGAGUCUCGAUUUCAACCUGUGACUGGGAAGACUACAACCACCCUGAGCAAACUCUGAACUCAGUGACUUGUUACUCUCAACCCAGAACAAAAAUCGUUUUAUCACCGGUUUUUCUUCUACAAUAGGUUAUCUCUUAUGUGGACACAUGCUGUUUUUUUGUUUGUUUU